rnacentral:misc_RNA from 1 species
UGAUAACUUUUCGAAUUAUUAGAUUCUAACAAAGUAUACUAAAAUGCUACAUAAAACCAAUGGAUAUGCAUUGGUGCAAUAGAAAAGAUUUAUUUGAAAUAACAAAAUGAACCCACAUUCUCCUCUUCUUUUGUUUCACCAACUUGUGUUCUCUAUUGUCAUCUGCCUUUGACAGUUGUUAGUCUUGAUACUGGAACCCCACUAACAAACUUGGUUGCAACAUACUAAGAAGAAGAA